rnacentral:lncRNA from 1 species
UCAACUUUUAAGCACAAAUAACAAACAAACAAGCCUAGGCUCUGAUACCACUGAUGGGUUUUGAGCAUUCUAACACUUCCUAAGUGUACAUGCAACCCUAAUAACCUUGGAUCUAUGUUUGUCUAAUUAUCAUGCAAAGUUGAAUUCCAAGGUUAUAUUCCUAUCUAGCAUACAUGGGGAACAAUUUAACUUGAAUCAUAGAUAGAAUAACUUACCUUGUUGUUGCUUGUGUUCCUUGAAACCUUGUGAGCCUAGCACCCCAAGUGUGAUGCCUCAAAUGCUUCACACAACACCAAAUGCUCUUGGAAAGACUCUUGAGAUAACACACACUUCUCAAAAUUGGCCAAGCCCUCUAGUUUCUUAUGUCUAGCCUUGUGUAGCCAAUUUUGUGGAGAAUGGGACUCUUAUAUAGUGUUGGCACAUCUAGGGUUACACCAUGUAAACCCUAAUGUGUCAUGACUCUUCAUUUCCAUGACCCAUGGGUUUGUAACUCCCAUGGAGCAUCCAUGGAGCAUCCUAUGGGUAGAACCCAACUUGAUAAUCCAUGGAGCCUUUUAGCCCACUAUACAAGAUAUGGAUGAUUUACAUAAUCAACCCAUAUAUUUAAUUAGUUAACCUUUGAUCACUUAAUUAAUUCCAAAUUAAUUCUUGAUCAAACUAAUCAAAUAAUAUUAUUAAUAUAUUAGAACUUAUAAUAUAUUAAUAAUCUCCAAGUGUUAUUUCUCUCAUUUAGUCUAACCAAUUGCAUGGUGCCAUGCAACCCAAAUGGACCAUGCCGGGUCGGGUCAAGUACAAGCCCAAAAUAGUUAUGGACUUAGACACCUUAUCCAACACAAAUUACAUACGACGUUCAUAUACCGCUCGAUUGUAGGGAGACCUGUCCGGGAUCAUGAUAUCAAGUAUCAUUACUAGUUAUCGAAACACAUGUUAUCUAAAGAGAUACUGUUGUCACCAUUCAAUUUCAAUUGGUAUAGUCCUCAUCUUCCCAGUUUAACGACUACGAAAGGACCCUUCACCUAACCCAUCGAAUGUCGAAACCUUCGUCUCUCAUAAACAUCCAGCACGAACCUCCGGGUCAUCUCUCAAUGUGAAACCCCCAAAACACGCACCAGAGGAGUGUUAUACCUCCCGAAACCUUAUCACAAGUAUUUCCAAGAGACCUUUCGGGAAUGUCAUGCAUACAACAGACAAGGUUCAAGCACAGAAUCUUGGGACGGAUACGGUUAGUCUACCACUACUACGUGUAUACGCGAGGAUAAUGUAUAAUUAAGAUUCUAUGGGCAUUGGAUGUGUGAUUCCGCCCUAUUUCCUGUUCCAUGUCUGGUUGUGGACUUGGGGCAGAGUCACCCAUCCAACUGUCUUGCAAAUCUUAAGCACAUACGACCUAUAUGUGCAAGUUAAUGAUAGAUGGACCAGGUACGAGUCCUGCCAUGAGCUUCAGGCCAAGGUUGCCCAGGAGGACGAGUGAAUAUCCUACCAUCCGAAAACAUCUAGUUGCAAAAACCAAACCCACAUGCUUCCUACCGAGCUACAAGAACUGUCAGGACAAACCUAUCGAACUAAUCAACAAUGGAAUUGAAGAACCAAGCCCCUCACCAUGGAGAGCUCCGAUAUUUUUCUUCAAAUAGAAAGGCAAAUUGCUCGUAGAUCCAUCGACCUCUAAGGCCCCAACAAUAUCUCCAGUAGAAACCUUUACUAUCUGCCUCGCAUAGACGAAUAGGCCGACCAACCGCAAGGAACGAGGUACCCUUCAGGAAUUUGACCAAGAUCCGAAUAUCACCAGUCGCGAGUAUUGGAGAAGGAUGUCCGAGGACAAUCCUCCAAAUUCGAUGCGAAUGCUGCAAGUCCAUAGUGAUACCCCUCGGAUAGGACCAACCCGCUCGCAGCCUUCAGGAACUUAAUGAAUAGGGUACGCCAUUCUUACUAGGAUCAAUUCAUCAUUGUCCUUCAAAAUGACUUCCUUAUCUAUCCUAGUAGUAAGAAGAGAACCAAAAAAAACAGCUACAACAUACCGUGGGAACAAUUCGAUCAGAGAAGCCUUACCUGAAGUUCUAUAGAUAUGAGUUUUGGAAUUGAAGAGUCCAAUUCCUAAGACACACUAUUAUUGAUGUGGAAAUUCUUGAGGACCCUUUAAAUUAAUCAAAACCGUUGAGAAACUCUGACCCGGAAGGGAGCAACCUUUUUUUGGGAAGAGAAGCAAGAGAGGGAAACCUUUACAACUCCAGAGUAAGAGACCAAAUUCCUCUGGAAUCCUCACUCUGGGAAGGCUUAGUACGCUUCGGGAAGCAUGGAAAGCUAAGACCCAGGAUAAUUAGGCCCUUCGAGAUUCUUUUCAGAAUAUGCCCUGUAACUCGCUACUUCAAUCUACUCCCGCGAGCUUGAUAAAGUACAUUCUACCGGACACGUCUCGAACUUGCAGAAGUAUCUAUCCGACGAGACUCUUGUAAUCCCCAUUGACAAGAUCGGUUUUCACAAGACCCUCACCUUCGUGGAAUAACCGUAGUGACCAUGGACCGAAAGGUCAAGCAGACGAAGCAACACAGUUUCCUAUUAGUGAAGGUUCACUGGAAUACUAACCAAGGACCUGGAUUCACUUAGGAGCUCGAGAAUCAGUCGAUUAGGAAGUAUCCCCACUUCUUGGCUUGAUUAUUCAUGCCUACUCCUUGCCUAAAUUCAAAUUUUGGGAUGAAAUUCCCUCUAACGGGGGGAUGAUGUGACAACCUUCAAUUUCCGGUCAAGUCAAAGUCAACUAAAGUCAACAAGUCAAACCGAUCGACUCAACUAACCCUCGUGUACUAGGGCUUACGUUAUGUAAUUACUAAACAACUCGCUAUUCUAAGGAGAGAUCAUAAAUCGAAAGUUCGUACAUCUAGAUUUCCUUAACCUAAAACUGUGGAAAGUAACGAACCAAACCAAUAAAACAUUGUUGCAUACUCAUUGGGAGUGUGUAAAAUCCUUAAACAUGACAUAAUGGGGCUUACGGACCUUGCGUUGCGAAGCCGGACACUCACAAUUGUCACACAUGAAACCUCUCUCCAUCGUUUUCACUCUAUCCCUUUAUAUGAGAAACCUCUCCAAGAAUGUGAAAUCUCUCCCAAUUCUCUGUUUGUAUGAGAAAUCUCUCCAAGAAUGUGGAAUCUCUCCCAAAUCUCUCUCUAUAUGUGAAAUCUCUCCUAAAUCUCUCUUUGUAUGAGAAACCUCUCCAAGAAUCUGAAAUCUCUCCUAAAUCUCUCUUCGUAUGAGAAAUCUCUCCAAGAGUGUGGAAUCUCUCCCAAAUCUCUCUCCAAAUGUGAAAUCUCUCCCAAAUCUCUCUUUGUAUGAGAAAUCUCUCCAAGAAUGUGGAAUCUCUCCUAAAUCUCUCUCCAUAUGUUAAAUCUCUCCCAAAUCUCUCUUUGUAUGAGAAAUCUCUCCAAGAUUGUAAAAUCUCUCCAAAAUCUCUCUUCGAAUCUCUCUCAAACUUUUUAUGCACUUUUGGGGCAUUCCGACACUCUACUUGGUGAAAAACCACUUGAAAAGGGAAAAUUCAUUGGAAAUAAGCCUCUUAGGGUCGAAGCCUCUCUAUAGGGGCCAUACCCUUCUAGAACCGAGGUCAAAGGGGGAGGACCGGAGUCCCCAUGAGUAGCCAUCUGAAGCCACAGCCAAGGAGACCGUAGUCAGCGAGCCGCAGCAAGCCGACCGCAGUCAGCGAGCCGCAGCAAGCCGACCGNCGCAGCCAGCGAGCCGCAGCGCCGAAUCCAGAACCAAGGCCCCCCGCAGCGAGCUUCUCUUCGGACCGCAGUCCCUUCCCUUCGGAUUCACUUCAGCGACCAAGCCAUCCCUCCGGUUCUAAAGCUACUGAGACCGAGACCCCCCUCCUGACAUCGGAUUUCACCAUUUUUCACCCGGUUUUCGAUCAUUUCUCCGUUUUAAGCCCGUUUUUAAUUAUUUUAACGCGAGAUUUUCUCCAGAAAUCAUAUUUUAACAUAUAAGACCCUAAAUAUUCAUAAUUUAAUCAUUUUUUUAUGAAAAUAUUUAUUUAAGAAUAAAAUCUAGUGAGUGAAUAUUUAAGGUGGAGUGUUGACUUAUCUUUGAUUUAUGACACAAGCAACCACCACACCCACUCAAAGACUAACCCACACACCUCCCCACCAUCCCUAGUCACUUCAUAGUCCUCUCCCACUCAAUUUUCAGCCUCUCCCACAUUUUAGAGCUGGAACAACUCUCUCACACACACUCUCUCUCUCCUCAUUCUCACUCACUUCUCUCAUUUCUACCAAAGAUCAAACCCACUUUUUUCUCAAAUUCUAUCCCUCAAAUUCAAGAUUCAAGGGCUGAUCAUCAAGUUUUCUCUCAUUUUUGGUAAGAUUUAUCACCUUUCUCAUGAUUAAUACAUUUCCUUGUACUUAUAUCAUUGAUUCUUACACAAAUUUCCAUCAUAAAUUGUGCUAGAUUCUUAGAUCUUCAAGCAAUCUUCAAGUGUUCUUGAGUUGAACACUUCUCAUCUCCAACACUCAUCUUCUGAAAUCACAUAAAGUGAGUUCAUACCCCCUACAUUUUCAUGUUUUCUCAAGUUUUUAGGGGGGGGGGGGGGGNNNNNNNNNNNNNGGGGGAAUACAAGUUAAAACACCAAGAACAUAACUAAAUUUUUCUAACAGCUUUCAUCAGAAAAGUUAGGCUCCAUUCACGGACUGUUUUGGACAACUUAAACAUUUUUGUUUUCAAAAAUGUUUUAGUUGUAAGUAGUUCCAUUUCUUAGAUUUAAAAUGACUACUUGCACAUCUCCAUACGAUUUUUCUACAAUUUAUGGUGAUUUUUACAAAACUGCCUAUCAUAUUAAACAUCAAUCCGGACCAGUCUGUGAUUAUGGACUUUUUCACCCACGUUUGAGGCCAUUAAAAAUCAUGAUAAAAAUUAUGAGUAAACUAGACACAUUUUGGGAACUCUUUGAAUUUACGGAUUUAGUUUUCGACUUCGUAUGCUUUUUCUACGACUUUUCUAAAACAGCAUAGAAAGGUUAAUAAUUAGUUAACAGCUUAUAACUUUAAUAACAGUUUGUAUUAUGUUGAGCAAAGUGUAUAACAAUAAGUUUUAAAUAUUGAAUGUGUUUCCUUGUUAGUUUAUCAUCAUAAACUGAAACCUAGUCAUUCAUGAUAAGAAUAUUCAUUUAUUUAGAAACGUAUAUUAAGCUAUAGAAAGCAUAGCUUAUGAAUUGAUAACACAAAUGCGUUUUCAUAAAAGAGUUCUUAUACAUUACAAACGUUUUGGAUAAACUAUAAUAGGUAUGGUUUAUGUUUCCAUUAACACAAAAAUCACAUUUCGGAAGGUUUUAUUCCCACAAAAAAAAGGUUUCACACUCACGCACACCACACGUAAACUUUUUAACCUAAAUUGUGAGACAAUCUCUUUUCGUACGUCCGUGUGCGGGAUCUAAAUUCCUGGUAGUUAUAAUCAGAGUCUCCUUGAGGGAGAACGUGAUAGUUGUGUAUAGAUCUAUAUUGGGUUUGACACCCCACACCUGAACUGCGUGCAAUAGCUAGACCGGCAGGUCUGUGGUGACCAGUGUCAUUUUAGUUUCGCGACGCCUGAGAAACGUCGUGGCAGGUUCAUUCAGUCAUUAGUGUGGUUAUAUCGGCUCACAUAGGGAUUUAACAACAUAAAGUUUACGGGUAUUUUCAAAAUCAAAAGGGGUUUUAUGUCGAUUUAAAAUCACUUUUUAUAUCAAUAAUUACAGAUAUUAUGGUAUAUUUUUCAGUCUUGGUAUUUAAGACUACACAUCAUUCAUUACGGCAUUUUACUCAAAUCAGAAAGGGUUUUACGCCAAUUUAAAACCACAUUUAUAUCUUUAAGUAUGACAAAUACUUGUUCAUUUUCGGUCCUGGUAUUUAGCACCACAUAACUUUUAUAAGGAAAAUAUUGUAUUUUUCUUGGUAACAUACAUCUCUUUACAAGAUCGAUUUUCAAACUCUUACUGUCAAAAGCUUAUGAACUCACCAACCUUUGUGUUGACACUUUUCAAAACUACUUAUUCUCAGGAAUUCAUUGUAACAGGAAAUCAACAGUGUUUUGUGGAUGGGACGAUAAAUCGUUAAACAGUUCAUUUUGUAUCAUAAUGUAAUUGAUUUGAAUCAUGUAAACAUAUACUUUGGUGUAACUUUUUCAAUUAUAUUUAUGAUGGUUGUAUUUACUUUGAGCACUAUUAUACACGUUGUUGUGAUACUAUACAUGAAGUCCUCCACCCCCGGACGUUUCCGCUAUCCUUGGUUUGGGGGUGUGACACAAGAGUUUCAGGGAGUAAAGUGUAAAUUAAUUCAGCGACUCGACGAGUAGGUCCUCUUACUCGCCGAGUCUGAGCGGGAUUUUGUUACGGGUUAAGUGGCCAACUCGCUAAGUCGACAGAUGGACUCGACGAGUUCGUUCUGAAAUGAGAAACCCCUAAUCCCGGAAGUUGUGCCCUAUAUAAAGCACAUUAUAGCCACCCUCAGCCUCUUUACUGCCCAUUUGAGUUCCAAAAACCCUAAUUAAUGUGUGUGAGCCUCCAUUGUUAAAGUUUGAGUUUGGAAGAAGAAGUUAAGAGGAGAAAGUUAGAAGAUCAAGAGUCUAGCAUCGGCAGAUCAUUGUAGAUCCGAAAUCUACUCCUUCUUGGGCACAUUUAUGAGGUAACAAGUCGUUACCUUGAGUUUUCUCCUUUUAGAUCCAUUCUUCCUUGUUGUUUUGGGAAUUUUAGCUUGAUUGGAAUCCGUUUCGGGUUUAAAGGCUAGAUCUGAAGUUGCAACUUCAGAUCUAGGUUAAUAGUGAGCUAUAAAAGCUUAAAGCAUUAGCCAUAGGGUUUGAUUUAGAGUAUCUUUGUCCUAAAAACCUCCUUAUAGCUUGAUUGGUGCUUGUUGAGUCUUGCAUGCACGUAAAGUUGGAAAAUUUACGUGUGAAUCUGGCCCUAGGAGUCCAUAUCUAUGUAUUGGAAGCAAUGAAAUGGCCUGAAAUCGUCUGAAUGAAGAUGUCACGUUUGGACUCGGCGAUUUGGAAGAACAACUCGGCGGGGCUGUUGAUGAUUGCCUUGGACUCAGCGAGUCUGUUCUUGGACUCGGUGAGUUUGGCCGUGGAACCCUAACCUUUUUCUGGUUAAGCAUCGAAUCGGUGAGUUGAGGGACGACUCGGUGAGUUAAGUAGGAUGUGACUCUGAGAUUAUUGGACCCGACGAGUCUUGGGGCGACUCGGCGAGUUGAGUCGUAUUAUGGGAGUUUCUGAGGAUACGAACUCGACGAGUCAACGGGUUGACUCGUCGAGUAGGGUCAACUAGGAAGGUUGACUUUGACUGAGGACUUUGACUUUGACCAAGGGUUGACCAGCUUGACUUCCAAGGGUAUUUUGGUAAUUAUUGGUAAUUAUUGGAUUUGGUUAAUUGGUAGAGUUCAGUUGUGGAGUUCGUGUCGAUGGUCGGAGUAGCGUGAUCUUAUCUCUUCAGUCAGCUAUAGCAGGUGAGUUAUCCUCACUAUAUCGACAGGGUCUAAGGCACCAAGGUCGACCCUUUAUUGGAUGGGAAUCCGGGUAGUUCUUUGUUGUGUUAUUGCUUUGCUAUGUCUGUAUCCUGGUAGUUAGGAUAGUAUAUGUUUGAGACCUGGUUAACGUUAGUAUCCUGGUAUAUAGGAUGAUGUUAUGUUAGUGACCGGUUAGGUCGGUAUCCUGGUUAGGAUGUUGCUAUGUUAUGUGAUCUGCUAGAUCGGUUGAUUAGUUGUGAAUUGUUAUAUGAUUAUAUGUUUAUGUGCACAUAGUUGUGGGACUAGGGUUGGGUUGCGGCGGGUCCUGCUUUUUGCUGUAGGCCAACAUACCCAGGUCGAACCGGUUAGACCGAAGGCCCGACAAGCGGUCCGGAUAGGCUGAAGGCCCCAAGAGGGCGGACCAGACGUGUCGAGGCUUGGAGAGUGGACCAGACAGACUGAAGGCCUGAUACGGGUGGACCGGCCAUACUGCAGACUCAGAGAGAGAGUGGACCGGGUGGACUGAAGGCCUGGUGUAGGCGGAGCAGUCACACUGUAGACUCGAUAUGCAUGAUUGUUCCGUUUAUGAUAUGAUAUGUGUAUGGUAUUGUGGUUGGUAUUUUGGGGGUAACUCACUAAGCUUCCAGGCUUACAGUUCAAUGUUUUGUUUCUGGCAGUUCAAGAGAUCAUGCCAAGGCGAAGGCGUGAUCGUACCGCUCCUCAUGUUUUAUGAUUUAUGUGAUAUGGUUCUGGGGAAUACUCUGAUGUUAAAACUAUUUUGAAAACGAAUGUACAAACUUAAUGGUUUUUCAAUGAAUUAAAAUGUUUUAAUUUGGCUCGAAUUUUAUGGGUGUUACAAGUUGGUAUCAGAGCCUUGGUUUGAGUGAAUUGGAGGAACAUUCGUGUGAAUCCAGUCUCAAAUCAAGGAGAGUUUUCAAAGUGAAAUUAAAAUGGUUUUCAAAAAAUGAGUAUAGGAGGAUGCGGAGGUACGCUCAUCCAGAGCCAGUAAGUAGACCCCAAAAUACCAUACAAGUUAAUUGAUUAUGUCAUAUGUUAGAACAGUAUGCUAGUACUAGGCUAGGGAUCUUCAGGAAUUUGCAUGAUAGAAUUGCCUGAUUAUAUGAUGCCUGCUAGCCUAGGGUUUCCUUGUAUGAAAUUGACAUCAUUAUUGUAGUUAUUUAGUGUAUGCAUCACGACCAUAUAUAAUUAAGAUCUCAUAGCCUGAGAAUGUUUGAUUUGUCCUUAUGUUCUGUUCUUGUUUGAUUGGGAGCUUAGGGUAGGAUUGGAUAUUCAAAAGUCUAUGGGGUCCAACGUUAUGUAUGGCUAGCAUACACUAGUGUUGCAGGGUUGGUGGAAAUUUCAUGGAUGGGUGGGUUGCGUGAGACCGGUAGGUCGGUUAUGGGAUUGUGGUGCUCCUCUAGGAGUGGGGAUCGAGUGUUUGUUAUGUAUAUGCUAUUGAUAUGGUGUUAUGGUAAUACUUGAUAAAAUAUGGGUAGGUGUGGAAGGUAGUAUGGGCCCGUACUACUGAAAGCACAGGACCCAUACGCGUAUCAAGGAAGUCACAACCCCUAGGGUUUUGUUGGGAGCUAACUCUCGAGAUUAUUAUAAGGAAUGCCUAAUAUUCUUGUGGUGUAUUUUCAGUAUGGCGAUUAUGAGACGUCUCGGGGUAGGAUCCGGUUCGGGAUCGGGAUCAGGAGAGGGUGGUCAGGAUGGACCAGGACUACCCGAGGUCAUUGCUCAGAUGUGUACGGACGAGUUGGAUGCCAGGAUUUGUGAGAUCCUGCAUGAUGAGGUUGUUGUUAUAUUCUGGGCUGAGAUGUCGGAGAUGUUUGGGUCGAUCAAUACCGCCAUGGUUGAGUACUUUGAUGAGCGUUGUGCAGCUCUGACUGAGGCGGCUAUCGCGGCAGCUACAGCGGCUGUAACAGCGGCAGGGGGAGGAGCCGGUCGAGGGUUUCAGUAUCGGGACUUCAAUAAUACGAAGCCCCUUACUUUUGAUGGAGUUCAGAAUCCAAUCGUUGCUAUGAGAUGGUUGUCAGACGUGGAGGGUUGUUUCUUCAUGUGUUCAUUCCCUACAGAUCAGAGGGUGAGGUGUGCUCUGAACCUUUUGAGGCUCAGGGUGAAGGAUUGGUGGAGGUUGACUACGAGAUCUUAUUCGGAUGCGCAGCGGGCUGCAGUUACUUGGGAUCAAUUCCGGGAGAUGUUCAGCACUCGUUAUGUUCCAUGGGUUGAGAGAGAGAGAGAGAGGUUGGAUCAGGAGUUCCUAUGGUUGAAGCAGGAUUCAGAUUCGGUGACGGAGAUCACCAGGAUGUUCACUGAGAGGGCAAUGUUUUGCCAGAGUUUGCUUCGGAUCAGGCUCAGAUGUCCCGAUAUCUGAGUAUGCUCAAGAGGGACAUCUAGCAGUUUCUAUCCACGCAGAGGUGUGAUACCUUGUUAGAGCUAUAAGAGGCCGCCAGGCAGCGUGAGUUAGAGAUGGAUUUGCAGUUACCAGAGCGGAGGCUGGCCCCGGUGCAGUCACAACUGGUGCCGAAACGGUCGAAUACUGUUGACUCUAGGAUUGGAGGUCAGAUCAGUCACACUUGUGAGAAGUGAGGGAAGCGUCAUGCCGGAGUUUGUAGGCCCGGCGGUGCGUGUCGCAAGUGUGGGAAAGAGGGGCAUUAUGUGAGGGAUUGUUGACAGUCGGUCUCGACUCAGGAUAUGUGGAUUUGUUAUCAUUGUCAUCAAGUUGGACACUUGAGGGUCAACUGUCCACAGCUUGUUUCCAGAUCGGUGCAGGUUCCAGCACCGUCUUCUAUGAGGAUUACUGGCGGGGGUCAGGGUGGAGAGGAGCCUCCGAGGGCUCAGGGGCACGCUUUUUAGCUCAUAACAGAGGAGGUCAGGGCAGAGCCGAAUGCGGUUGCGGGUAUGUUUUCGUUUCGUUGUUGUCUGGUUAUCUGCUUAUUUAUGUAGUGUUGUAUUUUAUUCGCCGUUCUGCGUGUUUCAUGGUUUGGUUGGGAGUGUUAGUAACUAGGAGUUGUAAGCAGUUAGCAUCCAAGGGAUUGAUGGUCAGAAUUUGGUUGUAUGGUCUUGUUGUCGGGCAUAGCAAUUGCGAUUUGAGAAGUGUUCAGCAGAGAGUCGAAAUCCCUUAGAGUUUGUGUUGUGUGAUGCCGGGAAGUGAUUUUGGUGGAGGUUGCUAGUUUCAGAGGAAAUCAGUUCAUAGAUAAGAGGAGUAUGUUGAGUAGGGAUGAUUGAUUUAUGCCGGUUUAGUCAUCGAUGGUUGGUAGUGAGUGCUCUAAGUGGGGAGAAUUGGAAAAUUCUCAGGAGGAUCGACAAGCAUUAGAGGUUGAUUAGCUGUUUGGGAUUCAACAGUGUUUCAGUUAGCCAAGAGUGUGGGCUGGUAUGAGUAAGUGACAGGCAAAUGGGGCGGGGUACAGACCAAGGUUUUCGGAAAAGGUGAUUGGUUUUUGUGAGGCCUAGGAUUAGGCCGAGAUCUGAGUAUAUGGAAUAGAGUUAGAGUUCGGAACCCCUAGCGGGCUAAAACAGUAUGUACGAUAGAGAUUCCCAGGAAGGAUAGUUCAGGAUGAUGUAUGAUAGUUUGAGCGGUCUGGGGAGACUGUCACAACUAGAAAUUUUGUGUCUUGUAAUCACUACACUCAAGUAAAAUGUAGAAUCCAAAAACUUAAAAGCAUGUAUGAUACUUACUCUAUGACAACAGAAUUUCAAUCAAAUACACCAUACAAGUGCUACAAAUAGUCAAUAAGCAAUUGGAAACCCUAGAGCUUCUUGUUAAGUCCACUUUGGACUAGGACUUCCUUAUUGGACCCAUUAGGCCAAUAAGCCUCCAAUUUGACUAUCAUGAGAUUAGAACCUUUAAAUGGGCUCUAAUUGGACCCACAUUUAUUUAUUUCAACAUUUACGGCCAUAUUGGGCCUAGAAUGAAAUAAAUUAAAUAUUAUGAAUCAUAAUUAACUCAAACUAGCCCAACAAAGUGUAAAAAUCAUAUUAUAUUUUUGUUUGGGCCAAAAAUCAUCCAAACUAACUAUAAUAUAGGCUUAGGGGCAUUAAAGCCCAAUGAUCUCCUUCCCUUCCAAAUUCUCGGCCCAAAGCCCAAAUCCAAGAAGAAAGGAGUUGACCUAAUCCUUGCCACCUCACUUAUAUCCCACAUAUCUCCAUGCAUGGACCAACAUGCAUCUAGGAUUGUCAACUCACCUCUCUCUCUUCUCUUCUUCUUGACUUCGGCCGAAAGCACCCACACACACACACACUUCAUCACUUUUCACACAUCAAACACUCUCAAAAACACCUUCACCUCUCUUCACUAAAUUUUCGAAGAUUCAAGGGCAUUUCAAGGAGAUUUUUCACAAGAAUCACCAUCCAAGGUAAGGUUAUACUUAAAUCUAUGAUCUAAGUUCCUUGAUCUAUCAAAAAUCUCUUCCUAAUCCAUGCAAAAAUCAUGAUCUUGCAUCCUAGAAACACCUCAAGGCCAAGACCUUCAUCCAGGUGUGCUAGGAGCCGAAAAUCACCUCAUUUUCUUACAUCUUUUCUCCAAAACCGAAACCACACCCAAAGGUGAGCUUCAUACCCCCUAUUUUUCGGUUUUUACAAGGUUUGUGGGGGGGGAAUACAAGCAAAUGUGUAGAUCUAUGAUUAUAUGUGUGCUUUGUAUGAUUUCUAUGCUUAUUUACAUGUUUAUAUGUGAUUAUGGUGUUGAAACUAGUCAAAAAGCCCUAAAAAUCGAGAUUUGCAUUAGGAUGUAUGAAACAAGUGUUAAACAUAUUAUUACACACAAAUCAUUUCUAGAGAAAUAACCAACUUGGUUGACAUGAACUCAUUGGGCUAAAAAUCCUAUUUUUGGACUCAAAAUGCUAAAAAUAGGAAGUUAAAGGGCCCAAAGUGUCAAAAUACAAAUUCUGAUGGAUGAAAUGAGUCAAAACAGUUUCAUUAAGGUAUUUUCUGGAAAUGUUCUCUUUAGAAGGAUUAAAAUGUAAAUUUUUAAGCAUAAUGGGCCAAAAAUGAAUUUUCCGGCCCAAUAAAGCCCAAUAUGCGAGAUUUUCAAAUUAGAGGGGCUGAAAUUGUGAUUUUCUGUAAAACAGGGGACUACUAGUGCUCCAAGUCCAUUUCAAGGGUUAGAAAUGCUUUUCAUAUUUAAAAGGGACCAAAAAUACAAAAAAUUUCUAUUUUGGGCCAAAAGUGUAAAAACUGUGAAAUUGAGGGUUCUAGCCGAGAAAAAUUUUAUUUGGUGGACUAAAACUGUUUUGCAAAUAAUCUUUGAGCUGAAAAAUAACUUUUCUAUAAGUUUUGAUACUAAAGUGUCAAGAAAAUGGUUUGAGGACUAAAAUAGAAAUUUAUUUUAUACAAAGGGUUAAAUGUGUAAAUUAUCCAAAAGAAAGUGGCUGAAAUAAAGACACAUCCUAAUGUUUUAAAUAAUAAAUCCGUCAUGAAGAAAUAUUAGCAUCUCGACUAUCGGCAAAUUAUAAUACACCUUCAACACCAAAACUCAUUAUCAAACGAAUUGAUUCGGUCUCGAAUCAAUAAUGAAUCCGAAAUUACUAACACGACGAAACUUCAAUACACACGCGGAAAAUUCGGGAAGUCAAUACACACUUGAGAAUACACCAGACGUUGAUACACCGUCUUUGGGNAAAAGUUUCAAAUCGUGCUUGUUGGGCCUAGCUAGCCCAAUGACAUGAUCUUUAGUCCCGAAGGAAACUCGCUUACAUGUAGUUGGGUCUUAUAUGAUCUAAUUUCGUGUAAAAGGACUUUUACAGGCUUUGUGCUGUUGGACCCCAAGGGCCUUCUGGUGCUGCUAGUAAAGUCAAGAAUACACCAAAUGCGAGUCGGACUAAGGGUCCUUCGCAUUCACAAUGGCCUUGAACGACGUAGGGAAAUACUGGGGUUUCGCACCCUCUUCUUUUCCCCUCGGUUGUGGGGCUACAUGAGUCCGGGUGGUUGGGUUAAGUGAAUAGUGCAAACGACGCCUAAGGGAUCGUUUGUACGGUUGUCAACUGGUCGUUUUCAUUAAUGUACGUUUACAACAAUUCACAAUCCAAAACUAAUCCAACGUCUCCGGAGCUCAACGAAUACACCUGUCGUAACGAAGAACAAAACAUAAAUUAUUUAAUGCAAAGUAUUAGGAAAACGUCGGGUUUUCCUAGGGUUUUCAAUUAAUACACCUACGAAUUAAAUACCGAGUUUUACAAAUCGUACUCUUACAUUUAUAGAAACAAACAAGCAUACUUACGGAUCUUCACACUUUUCAUACUAAGUUCUUUUCAGAAAAUAUCGGAUUUUCUGGUGAUUUUCAAAACAAUACAAACCACUAUAUUUCAAACAUUACUUAUGAACUCACCAACAUUUCAUAUGUUGACGUUUUUUUCAAAAUAAUUGUAUUCUCAGGUAACAGGUAAACCAAAGGGAAAAAUGUACUCAGUGAUGUCUUGUUGUUUGUUUAACUAGUAUUGAACAAUCUACUUUUGAGAAUGUAAUGUUUUGAAACUAUGUACUGAAUGUAAACGCAACCAGUUGUAAUAUUCCAAUGCUUGGUAUUGUAUGAUGUUAUGUUUCAUGUAUAUUCAUUGUGAUGGUAUUCAAUUGAGUCACAAUAGCCCUCGAACAUUUUCGUGGUCUGGUUCGGGGGUGUGACAGAGACUAAAGGCCGGUGGGCGUACCAGUCAGGCCAAAGGCGUGGAGAACGGUCCAGACAGGCUGAAGGCCUUGGAGGGCGGUCCAGACAUGCUGAAGGUUCUGAGAGUGGUCCAGAUUGGCUGAAGGCCUGGUAAGGCAUUUCGGUCAUGCUGAAGACUUUGUAUGUGUUGAUAGCUCUAUAUGAGGAGAUGGCUUGAGUAUGUUGUGAUGCAAUAGCAACCAGUAGGUCUGGCCCCGUGUAUUGAUUAUGUUAGUAAAAGGUGGUGUAUGGAAUUCGAUAGCCAUUGUGAUCAGAUUCAGAGUAUAUGUGAUGCAUGGAAUAGCAGUUACUCUACAAGGGAUAGUGUAGAGUGGGGUGUGAGCACCGUGGCACUUGUUGUUGUGGCAAGGUCGUCGAGCAGGUUUCCUUGGAUAAGGAAAGGGAAGGGUAUGUAGCUCCGAGAAGGAGUGUUGGUUCACUGUAGUGGGAGCAGCAGUGUGGAUGGAUGAUUGAAUGUAUUCCAAUUAUGAUUAUUGAGCAUUGUGUUUGUACCAAUGGUAUGGAAGCACAUCCAGGUUGGGUGUCUGUUGAGGUCGCGGAAGGAUUUCCGGUGGUGUAGAACCAGAGGACUUCGGAAGGGAUGCAAGGAUGGAGUCUUGGAUUUUUAGUAGGGUUGUGAUUAGGAGGUUAUCUAUGUUGUGGUAUUUCAUCUGGGGGAUGUCUGGAGGUAUCGUCAGUGUGUCGGGUGUUUCCAGCCCGAGGAUCUUAGAUCAGGUUCAAUAUGUGUAUAUGUUUGUAGAUGGGAGCUCAUAGGAGUUGUUCAGGAGCUGUAGGAUUUAUCAUCCUAUUAGCAUGGAAAGAAAGAGUCGUUUCAAGAAGAAAUCCGGAUGAGUUCCCAGCAGUGCAAUUCAAUAGAAGUAGUGUCGGUUUGGGCAAGGGGUGACGAAUUAGUACCGGGUCAGGACCGGUGGUUUGUAAUGAUAUCUAGUUUCACACGAGGUGAAUGAGUGGGCAAUUUCAGAAAUAAGAAUGUAUCCUCUGGGUGAUCCUGAGUUGAUAAGUGUUGUUAUCAGUAGGAGAAAGUCGGUAGCCGGUUUGGAGCAAUUGUCAGAACUCUACAUAGAAAGAGUUGGAUUCUAUGAGAUUUGAUGGUAGUGUUUGGAGGAAUCUGAGUCAGUUGAGAUCCGAAGUUGCAUUGUGGGAUUAUUAUUUUGGAAUUUUGUGCUGCAGCAGGCUUCGAGGACGAAGCCUAAUUUAAGUGGGGGAGAAUUGUAACUUCCCAAGUCAGAAGCAAGAGUUCCAGGGACUAAAGUGUAAAUUAAGUCAGGGACUCGACGAGUAGGUCCUCUUACUCGCCGAUUCUGAGCGGGGUUUUGUUACGGGUUAAGUGGCCAACUCGCCGAGUCUACAGAUGGACUCGACGAGUUCGUGCUGAAGGGAGAAAAUCCUAAACCCGGAAGUUGUGCCCUAUAUAAAGCACAUUAUAGCCACCCUCAGCCUCUUUAUGCCCAUUUGAGUUCCAGAAACCCUAAUUAGUGUAUGUGAGCCUCCAUUGUUAAAGUUUGAGCUUAGAAGAAGAAUUUAAGAGGAGAAAGUUAGAAGAUCAAGAGGCUAGCAUCGGGAGAUCAUUGUAGAUCCGAAAUCUACUACUUCUUGGGCAUAUAUGGUAACAAGUCGUUACCUUGAGUUUUCUCCUUCUAGAUUCAUUCUUGGUUGUUGUUUUGGGAAUUUUAGCUUGAUUGGAAUCCAUUUCGGGUUUAGAGGUUAGAUUUGAAGUUGCAACUUCAGAUCUAGGUUAAUAGUGAGCUAUGAAAGCUUAAAGCAUCUGCCAUGGGGUUUGAUUAAGAGUAUCUUUGUCCCAAAAACCUCCUUAUAGCUUGAUUGGAGCUUGUUGAGCCUUGCAUGCAUGUAAAGUUGGAAACUUUACGUGUGAAUCUGGGCCUAGGAGUCUUGAUCUAUGUAUUGGAAGCAAUGAAAUGACCUGAAAUCGUCUGAAUGAAGAUGUCACGUUUGGACUCGGCGAGUUGAAAGAACAACUUGGCGAGUCUGUUGAAGAUUGCCUUGGACUCGGCGAGUCUGUUCUUGGACUCAGCGAGUCUGGUCGUGGAACCCUAACCUUUUUCUGGUUAAGCCUCGAAUUGGUGAGUCAAGGGACGACUCGGUGAGUUAAGCAGGAUGGGACUCUGAGAUUGUUGGACCCGACGAGUCUUGGGGCGACUCCGUGAGUUGAGUCGUAUUAUAGGAGUUUCUGAGCAUAGGAACUCGACAAGUCAACGGGUUGACUCGGCGAGUAGGGUCAACCAGGAAGGUUGACUUUGAUUGACGACUUUGACUUUGAUUAAGGGUUGACCAGUUUGACUUCCAAGGGUAUUUUGGUAAUUAUUGGUAGUUAUUGGAUUUGGCUAAUUGGUAGUGUUCAACGGUGGAGUUCGUUUUGGUGGUCGGAGCAGCGUGAUCUUAUCUCUUCAGUCAGCUAUAGCAAGUGAGUUAUCCUCACUAUAUCGACAAGGUCUAAGGCACCAAUUCCGGCCCUUUAUCGGAUGGGAAUCCGGGUAGUUGUUUGUUAUGUUAUUGAUUUGCUAUGUCUGCAUCCUGGUUGUUAGGAUGGUAUAUGUUAGAGACCUGGUUAAGGUCAGUAUCCUGGUAUAUAGGAUGAUGCUAUGUUAUUGACCGGUUAGGUCGGUAUCCUGGUUAGGAUGUUGUUAUGUUAUGUGAUAUGCUAGAUUGGUUGAUUAGUUGUGAAUUGCUAUAUUAUUAUAUACUUAUGUGCACAUGGUUGUUUGACUGGGGUUGGGUUGAGGCGGGUCCUGCUUUGUGUCGUAGGCCAACAUACCCAGGGCGGACCAGUUAGACCGAAGGCCCGGCGAACGGUGCGGAUAGGCUGAACGCUCCAAGAGGGCGGACCAGACGUGUCGAGGCUCGGAGAGUGGACCAUACAGACUGAAGGCCCGAUGGGGGCGGACCAAUCAUACUGUAGACUCGGAGAGAGAGUGGACCGGGUGGACUGAAGGCCUGGUGUAGGCGGACCAGUCACACUUUAGACUCGAUAUGCACGAUUGUUCUGUUUAUGAUAUGAUAUGAUAUUUCUAUGGUAUUGUGGUUGGUAUUUUGGGGGUAACCCACUAAGCUUUCGGGCUUACAGUUCAAUGUUUUGUUUCAGGCAGUUCAGGAGAUCGUGGCAAGGCGAAGGUGUGAUCGUACCGCUCCUCAUUUUUUAUGAUUUAUGUGAUAUGGUUCUGGGGAAUACUCUGAUGUUAAAACUAUUUUGAAAACGAAUGUAUGAACUUAGUGGUUUUUGAAUGAAUUAAAAUGUUUUAAUUUGGCUCGAAUUUUAUGGGUGUUACAACUGGGCCGAACACUAGGUUUACGGCCGUAAACUCACUACAUGGCCAUAAACACACUAACAAUCUACCAAAAAGAUGAUAAAGACUCAAAAGAACUUAUUACAAUAAAAGCCUAGACCAAACCACUAACUGGACCCUUCACAAGAAUUGAUCCAUGUUGACCGUUUUGAUUUGGUGAUUCUUUAUUGCUUUUUGAUCUUCGUGUUUUAAAGAGUUUUUGGAUUCUAGAAAUCGAAUUAUUCCUAUAGAACAAAACCCUAAACCCAUCUUGGUGCCCUCUCCAUAGAUAACCAGUUCUCCCCCACUUGGAGUUCAAACUGCCAUAUGUCAGCCCUCACAAUUAAUCAUAGCACCAAAACGGAUUCUCAAUCCAUUCCUACAAUCAUGUAGACAUCCCUCAUGGGGAUAGGGAUCAAAUCGAUCAGAUAACGCAACCUAAAAGUCAUCGGGACGCAACCCUCAUAUACCAAUGAUGUAGAAACUCCGUGUUCGUUGGCGAUAGAGACUCGCAACAGACACUCUAACUCCCUAAUGGGCAUAUCAAACUCUCUACUGAAUGAUCGAGAUACAAAAGAAUGACUCGCACCCGAGUCAAACAACACUAGAGCAAGCAAAGAGUUCACUAGGAACGUUCCUAACAGAGGUACAAACAUAAGCCUAACACAAAACAUAAUCAACAGUAUAAAGGAUAGAAUCAUACCAGUCACAACAUUUGGACAUCCUCUAGCCUCCUUGGCGGUAAGCUGGAAAGCACGCCCUCGAGCCCUCUGGGGCUCCGCGCUGCCCUGACUCCCAUUAGUGAUCCUCAAAGUAGCAUGCGCUGGUCUGGCAACAAGCAAAGGACAUUGGGCCUUCAUAUGGCCCACCUGAUCAUAAUGGUAACAAAGUAUGAUGCCAGAAGCUGGAGUCUGCUGCCGACAAUCCCUCGCAAUGUGGCUCUACUUGCCAUAUUUGCGGCAACCCGAAGAAUAUCGGCAAGCCCCAUCAUGCACCUUGCCACACUUCCCACAAGUGCGUACCCUCUGAUUCCCCGACCUAAAAUCAACGACCCUAAACCGCUUCGACAUAGGCUGCAACUGAUGGGUUUUGAGCAUUCUAACACUUCCUAAGUGUACAUGCAACCCUAAUAACCUUGGAUCUAUGUUUGUCUAAUUAUAAUGCAAAGUUGAAUUCCAAGGUUAUAAUCCUAUCUAGCAUACAUGGGGAACAAUUUCUAACUUGAAUGAAAGAUAGAAUAACUUACCUUGUUGUUGCUUAUGUUCCUUGAAACCUUGUGAGCCUAGCACCCCAAGUGUGAUGCCUCAAAUGCUUCACACAACACCAAAUGCUCUUGGAAAGACUUUUGAGAGAAUACACACUUCUUGAAAUCGGCCAAGCCCUCUUGUUUCUUAUGUGUAACCGAUUUUGAUGGAGAAUGGGACUCUUAUAUAGUGUUGACACAUCUAGGGUUACACCAUGUAAACCCUAAUGUGUCAUGACUCUUCAUUUCCAUGACCCAUGGGUUUGUAACUCCCAUGGAGCAUCCAUGGAGCAUCCUAUGGGUAGAACCCAACUUGAUAAUCCAUGGAGCCUCUUAGCCCACUAUACAAGAUAUGAAUGAUUUACAUAAUCAACCCAUAUAUUUAAUUAGUUAUCUUUUGAUCACUUAAUUAAUUCCAAAUUAAUUCUUUGAUCAAACUAAUCAAAUAAUAUUAUUAAUAUAUUAGAACUUAUAAUAU